GCACAAGCGGUGGAGCAUGUGGUUUAAUUCGACGCAACGCGCAGAACCUUACCAGGGUUUGACAUCCUGCGACCGCUCCCUAACAGGAGUUUUCCCGCAAGGGACGCAGAGACAGGUGCUGCAUGGCUGUCGUCAGCUCGUGUCGUGAGAUGUUGGGUUAAGUCCCGCAACGAGCGCAACCCUCGCCUUUAGUUGCCAUCAUUCAGUUGGGCACUCUAGAGGGACCGCCGGCGACAAGCCGGAGGAAGGUGGGGAUGACGUCAAGUCCUCAUGGCCCUUACACCCUGGGCUACACACGUGUUACAAUGGCGGUGACAGUGGGCAGCUACUUCGCGAGAAGCGGCUAAUCCCAAAAAACCGCCCCAGUUCAGAUUGUACUCUGCAACUCGAGUACAUGAAGGUGGAAUCGCUAGUAAUCGCAGAACAGCAGGCUGCGGUGAAUACGUUCCCGGGC
rnacentral:rRNA from 1 species